ACGCCAUGUUAGUUCCGUGAAUUAGAUCGGAGUGACUAUCCAAAACCAGAUUGUUAUAAAUUCCGUUUCCUUUUAGGACUUAAUAUGACGAACAUAUUCAUGGAUAACCGUUUCGACACGGGAGAAACAUUUCGGCUACAUCAGAAAUGUUUGUAUGAUGAAAUAUGUGACGGACUUGUUGUUUAUGUAAACCACGGAAGGAUUAAACUGCCGCCGUCACCAUCGCCGUCGCCACCGCCGUCGUCGCCACCAACGCCGCCUCCACAACCACCGCCGCAGUUGCCAACUCCAUCAUCACCAAACUCAAGAAUCACAGUUCUGCUCAGACGGAUUGAGUCGCCACCACUACUGUCAAAAAUCAGAGUUCUGCUCAGAUGGAUUAAAUCGCCAACACAAACUGAAAUUUAAAGAAUAAAAUCUCCAAAUGAAUGUCGAAAGAUAUUCUCGAAGAGGUUUCCAUUUCGUCGUGUCAGCAAAAUAAACUGUUGAAAAUAGAAAAUGGACGAUGUGAUGACUAUUAAACCAUUGACAUAUACUGUAUUGGGGAAAACAAGAAAAAGAAAACAAGAAAAAAAAGAAAGAAAUAUAUCCGCCAUGUUAGACCUAUGGUUCCGUCGUGGAUGGUUACAUAAUACAGGGUUAUAAGAAAUUCGUUUUCUUGUAAGACAUAUUAUGGCCAACAACGUUAAUAGAAACAGGAUUUACAUGCUGAAAAAACGGUUUGCUUCAUUAGGGAAAUCUAAGUGUUGUACUAUGCGAAGGACUUUCUGUGUAAAGUUCAUAUGGGUAGGGAUACCGUACAUACUCUGUAUAUGUGUGUACACACUUGCACAUACAGCGUAUCUGGGAUAUAAGAUAAUAUACCAUAGAUGAGCAGGUCAGGUCCUCAGGAUUGAGCAGCUGAUAUAUAUGCAGGAUUAAUCAAUUGAUCGAUUGUUUCUUUGUAACGUCUGUCUACCUGUUGUGAUAGACGAUUUAUUUCCAGGUAAACAUCAGAUAUAAGCAGCAAUAGCAUGGGUAUGUGUAUGUUAAAGCACUCCCCGUUUAUCACGCUAUCCCUGUAGUAAUCAGUGUUCCUCAAAUUAUCCUUUAAUACACUACUGGUGUAAUUACUUAGUCUCCGCUAUUCGUAACCUGCUUGUCACGUUUUGGUUUAUUUGAAAGUUAAUACGGUUAAGAAUCAAUGGUGUGAUAUAUAUGAUAAUUAAUUAACACAGGCAAAACAGUUGCCUAUUUAUCCAUAUCUAACUGAAGGGGAUAAAAAUGAUCGUUAUAUAUAUUUGACGGAGAAACAUGUUGUUUCCGGUAAAAUUCCAUUUUUUUUCAAUGG